rnacentral:rRNA from 1 species
UACAGAGGGUGCGAGCGUUAAUCGGAAUUACUGGGCGUAAAGCGCACGUAGGCGGCUUGGUAUGUCGGGUGUGAAAUCCCCGGGCUCAACCUGGGAACUGCAUCCGAAACUGCCUUGCUCGAGUAUGGGAGAGGGAAGUGGAAUUUCCGGUGUAGCGGUGAAAUGCGUAGAUAUCGGAAGGAACAUCAGUGGCGAAGGCGACUUCCUGGACCAAUACUGACGCUCAGGUGCGAAAGCGUGGGGAGCAAACAAG